GGCGGUGUGUCCGAGUGGUCCAAGGAGUCAGACUUGAAAUCUGAUAGGCUCAGCCUGCACAGGUUCGAACCCUGUCGCCGUCG